CACGUGGGUAACCUGCCUGUAAGACUGGGAUAACUCCGGGAAACCGGGGCUAAUACCGGAUGGUUGUUUGAACCGCAUGGUUCAAACAUAAAAGGUGGCUUCGGCUACCACUUACAGAUGGACCCGCGGCGCAUUAGCUAGUUGGUGAGGUAACGGCUCACCAAGGCNACGAUGCGUAGCCGACCUGAGAGGGUGAUCGGCCACACUGGGACUGAGACACGGCCCAGACUCCUACGGGAGGCAGCAGUAGGGAAUCUUCCGCAAUGGACGAAAGUCUGACGGAGCAACGCCGCGUGAGUGAUGAAGGUUUUCGGAUCGUAAAGCUCUGUUGUUAGGGAAGAACAAGUACCGUUCGAAUAGGGCGGUACCUUGACGGUACCUAACCAGAAAGCCACGGCUAACUACGUGCCAGCAGCCGCGGUAAUACGUAGGUGGCAAGCGUUGUCCGGAAUUAUUGGGCGUAAAGGGCUCGCAGGCGGUUUCUUAAGUCUGAUGUGAAAGCCCCCGGCUCAACCGGGGAGGGUCAUUGGAAACUGGGGAACUUGAGUGCAGAAGAGGAGAGUGGAAUUCCACGUGUAGCGGUGAAAUGCGUAGAGAUGUGGAGGAACACCAGUGGCGAAGGCGACUCUCUGGUCUGUAACUGACGCUGAGGAGCGAAAGCGUGGGGAGCGAACAGGAUUAGAUACCCUGGUAGUCCACGCCGUAAACGAUGAGUGCUAAGUGUUAGGGGGUUUCCGCCCCUUAGUGCUGCAGCUAACGCAUUAAGCACUCCGCCUGGGGAGUACGGUCGCAAGACUGAAACUCAAAGGAAUUGACGGGGGCCCGCACAAGCGGUGGAGCAUGUGGUUUAAUUCGAAGCAACGCGAAGAACCUUACCAGGUCUUGACAUCCUCUGACAAUCCUAGAGAUAGGACGUCCCCCUUCGGGGGCAGAGUGACAGGUGGUGCAUGGGUUGUCGUCAGCUCGUGUCGUGAGAUGUUGGGUUAAGUCCCGCAACGAGCGCAACCCUUGAUCUUAGUUGCCAGCAUUCAGUUGGGCACUCUAAGGUGACUGCCGGUGACAAACCGGAGGAAGGUGGGGAUGACGUCAAAUCAUCAUGCCCCUUAUGACCU
rnacentral:rRNA from 1 species